AAACAACUAACAUUCCUCCUAAAUAGAUAAGAAACAAAACCAGGGAUAAAAAUGGGCCCCCAUGACUUACUAGCACGCCACAACCCAUACCUGCUACCAUCACCAACCCUAAAGCAGCAAAAUAAGGAGAAGGGUUAGAAGAAACAGCUACUAGUCCUAAAACCAACCCUAACAGAAAUAAAGAUAUAACAUAGGUCAUAAUUCCUACCAGGACUUUAACCAGGACUAACGACUUGAAAAACCAUCGUUGUAAAUUCAACUACAGGAACAUUUAAUGGCAAGCCUACGAAAAACGCACCCCCUACUAAAAAUCGCUAACAAUGCACUAGUCGACCUCCCAGCCCCCUCAAAUAUUUCAGUAUGAUGAAACUUUGGUUCCCUCCUUGGACUUUGCUUAAUUAUCCAAAUUCUCACUGGGCUUUUCCUUGCAAUACACUACACUUCCGAUAUUGCUACAGCUUUUUCCUCCGUCGGACAUAUCUGCCGAGAUGUAAAUUACGGUUGACUAAUUCGAAACCUCCACGCCAACGGCGCAUCCUUUUUCUUCAUCUGUAUCUAUAUACAUAUUGGCCGAGGACUUUACUAUGGCUCUUACUUAUAUAAAGAGACCUGAAACAUCGGAGUAGUUCUUCUACUUUUAGUUAUGAUAACAGCCUUCGUUGGUUAUGUCCUUCCAUGAGGACAAAUGUCUUUCUGAGGAGCUACAGUUAUUACCAACCUACUUUCAGCCGUCCCAUACGUUGGCAAUUCAUUAGUUCAAUGAAUUUGAGGAGGCUUUUCCGUUGACAACGCCACCUUAACACGUUUCUUUGCCUUUCACUUCUUGUUCCCAUUUGUGAUUGCUGGUGCCACACUUGUUCACCUUCUUUUCCUUCACCAAACAGGCUCUAAUAACCCCCUUGGCCUGAACUCAGACGCUGACAAAAUCUCCUUUCACCCCUACUUUUCUUAUAAAGACCUCCUAGGCUUCGCAGCCCUACUAAUUGCCCUUACAUCCCUAGCACUAUUUGCUCCUAACCUGCUUGGAGAUCCUGAUAACUUCACCCCUGCAAACCCAUUAGUCACUCCACCUCACAUCAAACCUGAAUGAUACUUCUUAUUUGCCUACGCCAUUCUUCGGUCUAUCCCAAAUAAACUUGGUGGUGUCCUUGCACUUCUUGCCUCUAUCCUAGUCUUAAUAGUAGUCCCCAUCCUCCACACAUCAAAACAACGUGGCCUUACAUUUCGACCCAUUACGCAAUUUUUAUUUUGAACUCUUAUUGCAGAUGUAGCCAUUCUUACCUGAAUUGGCGGCAUGCCCGUUGAACACCCCUUCAUCAUUAUUGGACAAGUUGCAUCCGUACUUUACUUCUCUUUAUUCCUAGUUUUAUACCCAGGAGCAGCAGUAAUAGAGAACAAAAUGCUUGAAUGAACAU